rnacentral:lncRNA from 1 species
AGGAACCUCUCGCGCUGCAGCUGGGUCUUCUGGGGAGGAAUCCGAGCUGGAUGGGGAAGACAUGGAGGCCCUCAGAACUGAAGGAGAAGACCCUGAGCCUGAAGGGGAAGGCCUCGACCUCGGGCUGGAGGUUGUGCCUGUUGUUGGUGUUGAGGGAUCUGAGUUGGAGGGUGCCAGAUCUCCUCCAGAUGCGAAUGUAAAUAAAGAUAAUGUAGGCGAU